AGUGGCGCACAGGUGCGUAACGCGUGGGGAUCUACCAUAGGGUGCGGAAUAACUCAGAGAAAUUUGAGCUAAUACCGCAUAAUGUCUUCGGACCAAAGAUUUAUCGCCCUUUGAUGAACCCGCGUAAGAUUAGCUUGUUGGUGAGGUAAAGGCUCACCAAGGCGACGAUCUUUAGCUGGUCUGAGAGGAUGAUCAGCCACACUGGGACUGAGACACGGCCCAGACUCCUACGGGAGGCAGCAGUGGGGAAUAUUGGACAAUGGGCGAAAGCCUGAUCCAGCAAUGCCGCGUGAGUGAUGAAGGCCUUAGGGUUGUAAAGCUCUUUUACCAGGGAUGAUAAUGACAGUACCUGGAGAAUAAGCUCCGGCUAACUCCGUGCCAGCAGCCGCGGUAAUACGGAGGGAGCUAGCGUUGUUCGGAAUUACUGGGCGUAAAGCGCGCGUAGGCGGUUACUCAAGUCAGAGGUGAAAGCCCGGAGCUCAACUCCGGAACUGCCUUUGAAACUAGGUGACUAGAAUCUUGGGGAGGCGAGUGGAAUUCCGAGUGUAGAGGUGAAAUUCGUAGAUAUUCGGAAGAACACCAGCGGCGAAUGCGACUCGCUGGACAAGUAUUGACGCUGAGUGCGAAGCGUGGGAGCAACAGGAUUAGAUACCCCUGUAGUCACGCGGA
rnacentral:rRNA from 1 species